UGGGGAAUAUUGCGCAAUGGGGGGAACCCUGACGCAGCCAUGCGCGUGAAUGAAGAAGGCCUUAGGGUUGUAAAGUUCUUUCGGUAUUGAGGAAGGUUGAUGUGUUAAUAGCACAUCAAAUUGACGUUAAAUACAGAAGAAGCACCGGCUAACUCCGUGCCAGCAGCCGCGGUAAUACGGAGGGUGCGAGCGUUAAUCGGAAUAACUGGGCGUAAAGGUCAAGCAGGCGGUUAUUUAAGUGAGGUGUGAAAGCCCCGGGCUUAACCUGGGAAUUGCAUUUCAGACUGGGUAACUAGAGUACUUUAGGGAGGGGUAGAAUUCCACGUGUAGCGGUGAAAUGCGUAGAGAUGUGGAGGAAUACCGAAGGCGAAGCNAGCCCCUUGGGAAUGUACUGACGCUCAUGUGCGAAAGCGUNNGGAGCAAACAGGAUUAGAUACCCUGGUAGUCCACGCUGUAAACGCUGUCGAUUUGGGGGUUGGGGUUUAACUCUGGCGCCCGUAGCUAACGUGAUAAAUCGACCGCCUGGGGAGUACGGCCGCAAGUUA
rnacentral:rRNA from 1 species